CCGCGUGCAGGAUGAAGGCUUUCGGGUCGUAAACUGCUUUUAUAUAGGAAGAUUAUGACGGUACUAUAUGAAUAAGGACCGGCUAACUACGUGC
rnacentral:rRNA from 1 species